UACGAAGGGGGCUAGCGUUGCUCGGAAUCACUGGGCGUAAAGCGCACGUAGGCGGAUUGCUAAGUCAGGGGUGAAAUCCUGGAGCUCAACUCCAGAACUGCCCUUGAUACUGGCGGUCUCGAGUCCGGGAGAGGUGAGUGGAACUGCGAGUGUAGAGGUGAAAUUCGUAGAUAUUGGGAAGAACACCAGUGGCGAAGGCGGCCAACUGGUCCAGCACUGACGCUGAGGUGCGAAAGCGUGGGGAGCAAACAGG
rnacentral:rRNA from 1 species